UACAGAGGUGGCAAGCGUUAUUCGAAUUUAUUGGGCGUAAAGGGCGCGUAGGCGGUUAGGCACGUCUGGUGUGAAAACGCUGCCGCUCAACGGAGCGAAUGCGCUGGAUACGGCCUAGCUAGAGUCCGAAAGAGGUAAGCGGAAUUCCUGGUGUAGCGGUGGAAUGCGUAGAGAUCAGGAAGAACACCUGUGGCGAAGGCGGCUUACUGGUUCGGCACUGACGCUGAGGCGCGAAAGCGUGGGGAGCAAACGGG
rnacentral:rRNA from 1 species